ACGUAGGGCGCAAGCGUUAUCCGGAAUUAUUGGGCGUAAAGAGCUCGUAGGCGGUUUGUCGCGUCUGCUGUGAAAUCCCGAGGCUCAACCUCGGGCCUGCAGUGGGUACGGGCAGACUUGAGUGGUGUAGGGGAGACUGGAAUUCCUGGUGUAGCGGUGGAAUGCGCAGAUAUCAGGAGGAACACCGAUGGCGAAGGCAGGUCUCUGGGCACUUACUGACGCUGAGGAGCGAAAGCGUGGGGAGCGAACAGGA
rnacentral:rRNA from 1 species